rnacentral:rRNA from 1 species
GACGAACGCUGGCGGCGUGCCUAACACAUGCAAGUCGAGCGAGUAGAGUUCUUCGGAACAAAGCUAGCGGCGGACGGGUGAGUAACACGUGGGCAACCUGCCUCAUAGAGGGGAAUAGCCUCCCGAAAGGGAGAUUAAUACCGCAUAAGAUUGUAGCUUCGCAUGAAGUAGCAAUUAAAGGAGCAAUCCGCUAUGAGAUGGGCCCGCGGCGCAUUAGCUAGUUAGUGAGGUAACGGCUCACCAAGGCGACGAUGCGUAGCCGACCUGAGAGGGUGAUCGGCCACAUUGGGACUGAGACACGGCCCAGACUCCUACGGGAGGCAGCAGUGGGGAAUAUUGCACAAUGGGGGAAACCCUGAUGCAGCAACGCCGCGUGAGUGAUGACGGCCUUCGGGUUGUAAAGCUCUGUCUUCAGGGACGAUAAUGACGGUACCUGAGGAGGAAGCCACGGCUAACUACGUGCCAGCCGCCGCCGUAAUAC